UGAAAACCAGGAAUGGUAUAAGAUGUAGA
rnacentral:sRNA from 1 species